rnacentral:misc_RNA from 1 species
GCCCGGAACUCUCAAACUCAACAACGCUCUUGCCUCUAUUUAUUACUACAAUUCUCACAAGCCCUAUAAUUGGUUGCGCUCUUUUACCUCCCUUACCGGCACCGGCAUUUCUAACUCCUCCAUCACCGUCGCUGCCGCUCACAAGCGCUACUCUUUGUAUAUUCCGCCCGACGGUGAUUCCCCUUCCCGUCGGAAAUUCCUAGGGCGUUUAGGUCACGGAUAUGCUCUAAGAAGUAUUUCUACUACUCAGAUGGGACCCACCCCUGAUCACAAGGAGGAGGAUCUCCGCCGUGAAAAAUCAUCUCUCCCUAUACCCUCCAAGUCUGAAAAGUUGCUUACAUUGCCCACGAUUUUAACAAUUGGCCGUGUGGCUGCUGUUCCGCUUUUGGUAACCACAUUCUAUGUUGAUAGCUGGUGGGGACCAACCGCUACAACAUGUAUAUUUAUUGCUGCAGCAAUAACUGAUUGGCUAGAUGGAUAUCUUGCUCGCAAGAUGAAUUUAGGAACUGCCUUUGGUGCAUUUUUAGAUCCAGUGGCUGAUAAGCUAAUGGUUGCUGCCACAUUGAUCUUAUUGUGCACCAAACCUUUGGAGGCUAGUUUGUUUGGACAAUUUCCAUGGCUACUAACUGUACCUUCUAUUGCUAUAAUUGGCAGGGAGAUAACUAUGUCUGCAGUUAGAG